rnacentral:rRNA from 1 species
UACGUAGGGUGCAAGCGUUGUCCGGAAUUACUGGGUUUAAAGGGUGCGUAGGCGGGCAGGUAAGUCGUAGAUGAAAUGGCCGCGCUUAACGUGGGCCGCUGUCUGCGAUACUGCCUACCGUGAGGGAGGUUGAGGUAGCUGGAACGAGUGGUGUAGCGGUGAAAUGCGUAGAGAUCACUCAGAACACCAAUUGCGAAGGCAGGCUGCUGGACCUCUUCUGACGCUGAGGCACGAAAGCGUGGGGAGCGAACAGG